rnacentral:rRNA from 1 species
GGUGAACGCUGGCGGCGUGCCUAAUACAUGCAAGUCGAGCGAACGGACGAGAAGCUUGCUUCUCUGAUGUUAGCGGCGGACGGGUGAGUAACACGUGGAUAACCUACCUAUAAGACUGGGAUAACUUCGGGAAACCGGAGCUAAUACCGGAUAAUAUUUUGAACCGCAUGGUUCAAAAGUGAAAGACGGUCUUGCUGUCACUUAUAGAUGGAUCCGCGCUGCAUUAGCUAGUUGGUAAGGUAACGGCUUACCAAGGCAACGAUGCAUAGCCGACCUGAGAGGGUGAUCGGCCACACUGAAACUGAGACACGGUCCAGACUCCUACGGGAGGCAGCAGUAGGGAAUCUUCCGCAAUGGGCGAAAGCCUGACGGAGCAACGCCGCGUGAGUGAUGAAGGUCUUCGGAUCGUAAAACUCUGUUAUUAGGGAAGAACAUAUGUGUAAGUAACUGUGCACAUCUUGACGGUACCUAAUCAGAAAGCCACGGCUAACUACGUG